rnacentral:snRNA from 1 species
ACACUUACGUGGUAGGGCAGAUACCAUAAUCAUGAAGGUGGUUUUCCCAGGACGAGGCUUAUCCAUUGUACUCCAGGUGUGCUGACCCCUUUGAUUUGCCCAAAUGUGGGCAACUCUUCUGCAUAAUUUGUGGUAGUAGGGGACUGUGUUCGUGCUCUCCCGUG